rnacentral:rRNA from 1 species
AACGAACGCUGGCGGCAGGCUUAACACAUGCAAGUCGAACGGGCGUAGCAAUACGUCAGUGGCAGACGGGUGAGUAACGCGUGGGAAUGUGCCCUUUAGUUCGGAAUAACACAGAGAAAUUUGUGCUAAUACCGGAUAAGCCCGAGAGGGGAAAGAUUUAUCGCUGAAGGAGCAGCCCGCGUCUGAUUAGCUAGUUGGUGAGGUAAUGGCUCACCAAGGCGACGAUCAGUAGCUGGUCUGAGAGGAUGAUCAGCCACACUGGGACUGAGACACGGCCCAGACUCCUACGGGAGGCAGCAGUGGGGAAUAUUGGACAAUGGGGGCAACCCUGAUCCAGCCAUGCCGCGCGAGUGAUGAAGGCCUUAGGGUUGUAAAACUCUUUUGUCCGGGAAGAUAAUGACUGUACCGGAAGAAUAAGCCCCGGCUAACUUCGUGCCAGCAGCCGCAGUAA